GGAGAGAUGGCCGAGUGGUUGAUGGCGGCGGUCUUGAAAACCGUUAUGGGUGCAAGCCCAUCGGGGGUUCGAAUCCCUCUCUCUCCGCCA
rnacentral:tRNA from 1 species